AUGGAACAUCUCAACUUAGAGGACGAAGAGUUUGAUGAUCUGGUGAUCGAGGAGGAUGAUCCUGUUAUCAAUGAAGGAGUCCGUUGGUUAGCCCUUGCUAGGGUUCACACGGAUAAAACCUUCAGCCCGACGAUGUUCUAUAGGGAGAUGCGUGCAGUCUGGAAUCCGGCAAAAUAGGUGAGGUUCAGGCCCGUCGGACCGAACUUGUUCGUCGUUCAGGCGGAGUGCCUUGGGGACUGGGAGCGUAUGGUGGAACUUGGUCCAUGGCUCUUCAGAAACCGGGUAGUUCUCAUGUGCCCGUAUGACGGAUUUACUAAAGCAGAAGAGGUCCAUGUUAUUCAUCCAAUCUGGCUUCAAAUCCAUAAGCUGCCCGAGGGGUUCUGCAGGAAGAAUAUUAUGGAAUCAUUGCUGAAAAAGUAUGGGGAUAUCUUGGAGAUGAGGUUGAACGGAAAUACCUGGGGUGAUUAUGUGAGGGUUAGGGUUCGACAUGACAUCCGUCGACCCCUCACAAAAUUAGUUAGCAUUGUUAGAGGAGAAGCAAGGCAGGUUUAUUUGGUCCGUUAUGAGAAGCUUGCUCACUUCUGUAGCAUUUGUGGUUUGAUUGGGCAUGAUUUCAAAGAAUGCGGCACCGGGGUUCAUGAGGUGAUGGACAUGAAGUUUGGGAACUGGCUGUAUGCUGAUGGUCCGAACAGAGCAAGGACAGAUGAGUUCGAGCGAAGCAAUGAUAAGCAAAAGCAGCAGCAGCGCACCCCAAACAAAAGAGAAAGUUGUGAGGAAAGCUAA
rnacentral:rRNA from 1 species